UUUUUUGGUCCAUUUUUGUCUGAAAACUCACUGUUUUGGUCAUAUUCCAUUUUGUAAGUUGUCAAACAGGCAGGAGGCAGUCUUCUGGAAUACUCUCCUGAUUGCUCCCUCAACAUAAAGAUGCAGGCUUUUCCAUUCUAGCUCUAAGGAUGGUUCAGUGUUGCCUCUGUUCUUACUUUGGACAUCUUUUUCUUGAGGAACAACCAAACUCUUCUGAGAUGGUGAUGAAGAGAAAAGGUAGAAUUUAAUGAGCUCUUACUCUGUGCCAGGUAUAAUUGUAAACCUUCAUCUGUGUUAACUCACUUAAUGGUCUUACCAGCCGUGUGAAAUGUAGGUACUGUGACAUUUUCAAAUACAGCACAGAAGCCCUCGCACCCGCACCUACAGACAGCCUGUCCCUAGCCUUGGCACCUGAUGGGCCAUCUCCUGCUCUCCAUCCUGCUGGAUGAUUUUUCACUGUAACGCGAGGUCCAGAGUUUAAUGGCCUGACUGAGGUCUCGUGGCCAUCAAGUGCCAGGUGUGGAGACCAGCACUGCCUCUGGCCUGACUAGUCUGGAGCAGCUGCGGUGGAGGACAACACGGGACCUGUACGGGUCAUCCUCUGAACUCAAGUGCAGCACCAGCGUGACUUCCUGAAGAGACUUAGUUCUCGCUCCUGUCUCCCUUGCACGCUGCCUCUCCCAGUCCAGUAUCUGGCCCGGGGACACGUCCUGGAAGAGUUCCGUAAUGACCUGCCAGUGUGGUCACCAGAGCCCGAGCAGAGGACCGCUCCGAGGGUAACAACCAUCCUUUUUGGCACUUUGAAGUAUCUUCUCCUUAUUGAAAUUCUCUCAACAUAGCGUGCGCCUGACCUCAGCAAGCAUCUGUGUGAUUGCUACUGUGACCUCUAUCAGGUGAUUGGCUUCAUUAAGGUCUGUUUGUGCAGUUUUAUCUUACUCUCUUACUGGGGACAUAUCCCACUGUUCAUUUUCCUUGACUUGCUAUUUCUGUGCAUCUAGGACAGCUGCCUCCAUGUUGACAAGGUGCUCUUGUGUAGGAGAUGAACCUACAGUCAGCAUGUCCCAAGGGCUUGUUGCCUCUCAAACCUUUGUGACUUUUUAGGCUGCCUCCUUGGCGCUUCCCAGCAGCCGAGGGCGCGUCGGCACCAUGACGCAGGUGACUGGAAUCCAGACCCUCAGACAACAGCUGGGAAAGUCUGUUCUUACCCCUCCUUGGGACAGACACGGAGAUCGGCGAUUUGCCGCCUCCCUCUGUGCUCAACCAGUUAUAUGGCUGUGGAGGGUGCUCCUGUGGAUACUAAAUUCUUCAUUUGCUAGCCCUGCAGACUAGAGACUGUAAUCCCUGUCAGCACCAGGUGACCUUGGGUGGCAGCCACAAAAGCUGGUGUGCCAGGUGUGUGUACAAGCUUCUUCCAGGGAGAGGCUCCCAGGCUGACCUGGCCUUCUGGGAUGAUCUCAGCCCUAGAGUCAUGGUAAACUAGAAGCUUAACCCCAGGAAGCAGCUUUUAAAGUCUGCAAAAUACCCCUUUCAGGGAAAGACUGGGAGCUGGGGCUGUUCCCUCUGCUCCGAGCCCUAGGAGAAUGGCUUUUCAGAACUGCCUUUGUGUGCACUGGGCUGGGGACUCGGGAAGGCAAGCCUGCUGGCUGCAUGCCAGGCUGUCUGCGGACUGUCCCUCAGGCCGCAGUUGUGAAAGCUGGGGUGCAGACCUGUGUAUGGCUCCUUCCUGGGAGAUGCUGGGGAUUUGGACUGGACUAGAGGGGUGAUUUGGACUGGAGGCAGUGUAAACGCUGGCCUCGCCAGUCUGAGGGUGGCAGUGAGCCACAGAUGUGUGCUAAAUUAGAAGUCUGACUUUCUGGCAGCACUUUUUAAUGUAUGCCAAUAGGCCCUUUUUGGUGAAAGACGAACUUAAUGAGUCCUGUAGAGCAGCUUAAGAGCUGUUUGGUAGAGCUUUGUGGGUGUUGUGGAUUCAAGGCCUGUUGGCUUUAAGAGCUGGGUGUUGGGAGGCCCACCUCCAGGAGGGAUUCUUAAAAGUUGAGGUACUAGAUAUGGGAUCCAAAUCUUUUAUUCUCCAGGGGGAACAUGGGAUGUGGGCAUGCCCUCCCCAGUGGUACGGCAUCGUGCAGCAGGUGAGGGCUAGGGCCAGCGCGUCUCUCUUCGUACUGUUUCUUGCUUGUCUUCUACAUAAUAGCUCAGCUAGCUUUGGGUCUCUUUCAGAGGGAAUUACUCCGUGUGGAAUGGUACGUUUGGGUGUGUCCAUAGGAGGAGGGGAUUGCAAGAGCCCAUGUCGCCAUCUUGGACCAGAACCCCCAGGUAAUAUCUUAACACUUUCUAGUACAAGGUAGGUAGAUACAAGGCUUUUGUAUUUCCAAAAGCCUGUCUUUCUUAAUUCAUUGUAUACUUCAUUUUCCACCUUGGGAUUUGAUAGCUUCAUUCAUUCAUUUUUCCAGGCAACAUUACUUCCUAUAGUCUUAAUACUCCACAUCCUGGCAGAGUUCAUUUAAGAGGAAGUCCUUUUAUGUAGCACUUGGGAUGGCAGCGUCAUCGAGAAUGCCUUGUGCGCAGACGCGGAAGCCAGCCGGCCCGGAGGAUCUCGUGCUCCCACCUCCACAGGACUCCGUGGGCCGGCAAGCGUCAGUCUUCCCCAGGUGUGCGUGAGGCCUGUGAUCCUCAUUCAGCUGGAUGCUCCACAGUGACAGAAGCUGGCCGUGACCGUGGAAGCUCACUACAGAGCGCCACAUGCUGACAGAAAGAGUUGGAUAAAAUCCAGAUUACAGCGGUUCUCUUCCAGUUCAUCUUGAGCACCUGUUUCCACUUGCAUCAUUGAAAUUGGUUCUCAAGCAAGCAAAAAGAACAGAAAAUGCAGAAUCCACGUCACAUUACCUACAUGUGGUGCCAAGAUGGCCGAGCCGAACUUCCUGCCAUCUAGAUAUUUGCAGGCGUGGGGUCACUCCCAAAAAAGCAAGCUCUCUGACUCCCACGCGCGUCACCGACAGGACCAGGUGAAAUGGCUGCGCAGUGGUGACUGGUCAGUUCAGACAAAGCGUCUGCAGAAGAGCUUUCUCACGAGCCUCAGCCCUCGGGCCCCUGGCGGAGCGCAGGUACCUCGUUGGUGUUGCAGAUGUUUUCCAGAGCGGAGCCACAUAUCCUUCCUGGGAAAGCACUCCAGGGAAUGAUACCUGUGGAGCGAAGCACAGGGCAGCAAAGGAGCAUGCUGAAGCAAAUACACUGUUCCUUCAGAAGACUCGGCCCCGAUCACCGUGAAACAGACACCCACGUAACCCUUCGGCCCUGACACAUGCGCGAGAAGAGGAGAAAGGCAACAGGAGACAGAAGGAGGUACCGUAUUGCCGCACAUCCACGCAGAUCUGCUCCACGCUGGCCGUGCCGUUGGUCUGGGGAGACUUGAUGACCUCACAGGUGGCCCAGAUGUUGUGGAACAUGAACACGGGCACGGCAGAGAAACCAAACACGCCCAGCCAGGCCACUCCCAGCACGUAGGUGAGGAAGACGAACUACGAUGGAAACGAGAAGGAUUGUCAGGACAGGGCCCGGAGGACGAACUUCAGCGGACACCAGCCCCAUCGGCCGCACUCGGCGCCGUGCGUCCCGGCAGGUACCGGUGCGGGAGAAGCCAGGGGCAGGGUGCUCCCCUCCAGAGGGACAGCGUGGACAACGCCCACAGCCGAAGCUGCCUCGGAUCCCUUUCAUCAAAAGCCCAGGACCUGAGGCCCGAGAGCGGGUCUCGCCUGGCCAGAGACUGACUAGCGCGGGGCUCCCAGCGCUGCUUCCCCAGCAUGAGUUGGGAGAACUCGGCAUGGUUCUUCUGGCGCACUGGGACUUCAUUUCGUGAACGCCCCGAGUGCACAGCGUGGGUGGCGCACCAGCGACUGCUGCGGGAAACGUGACCCUGUGGCGUUAUUGUUAGAUGCUUGAACUUUUGUUAAAAGUGUAGCCUUCAAUAAAGUUUAGCCUUGAACACGCUUUUAACGCGCAGUGAGUCUGGCAAGACUCUCCUUUUCCUCUGCUUGU